UGUGAGAAGAGGCAGAAGAAAUCAGGCCCU
rnacentral:piRNA from 1 species